rnacentral:rRNA from 1 species
GACGAACGCUGGCGGCGUGCUUAACACAUGCAAGUCGAGCGGAGCGGCGAACGGGAGAAUAACGCGUUAGUAACUGCCCCCCUCCCUGGAAUAACAGUUGGAAACGGCUGCUAAUACCGGAGAGUGGGGGAUGACUUGCGUCCUAUCAGCUUGUUGGUGGGGUAGUGGCCUACCAAGGCGACGGCGGGUCGCCGGCCUGAGGGGUGGACCGGCCACAUUGGGCUGGGAUACGGCCCAUACUCCUACGGGAGGCAGCGGUGGGGAUUAGUGCACGAUGGGGGAAACCCUUAUGCAGCAACGCCGCGUGCGGAAUGACGGCCUUCGGGUUGUAAUCCGCUUUCAGCCAUGACGCGGUAGUGGCAGAAGAAGCACCGGCUAACUACGUGCCAGCCGCCGCGGUAAUUC